rnacentral:rRNA from 1 species
CGGGGGGAGCAAGCGUUGUUCGGAUUUACUGGGCGUAAAGGGCGCGUAGGCGGUCAGCACAAGUCAGUUGUGAAAUCUCCGGGCCUAACUCGGAAAGGUCAACUGAUACUGUGCGACUAGAGUGCAGAAGGGGCAACUGGAAUUCUCGGUGUAGCGGUGAAAUGCGUAGAUAUCGAGAGGAACACCUGCGGCGAAGGCGGGUUGCUGGGCUGACACUGACGCUGAUGCGCGAAAGCCAGGGGAGCGAACGGGAUUAGAUACCCCGGUAGUCCUGGCCUUAAACGAUGGAUGCUUGGUGUCUGGAGUUUUAUAGUCUCCGGGUGCCGUAGCUAACGCGUUAAGCAUCCCGCCUGGGGAGUACGGUCGCAAGACUG